AUAUUUAUUGCAAUUCAAGCAGUUCUUUGCAAUAUUUGCCUACAGUAAUAUUCUAUAUGCAAUAUAUGAUGCAGCCUUUGUUUGAAACUUUCUUACAGAGCCUCCCUAAGAGUUAAAAUAAAAAAGCAUAACCCUGCAAAGCUCAGUAAAUCCUGACACUUCCUACACUACUUCAACAGCUUUUUUUCUGUUCAAGCCUUUCUUCAACUUAUCAAUCCUCUCAGUAUAAAACAGAUUUACAUGGUGGCAGCCUUCUUUGGCAGCUUCAGAGACGGCGCUGAGUAGCCGUUAUUGUCAUGUUUGGUAUAAAGAGACCCAAGUGAAGAGACUAGCUGUGGCAAAAACAAAGUUUUUUAAUAAUGAAAUGAUGAACAAUUCUAGGGAAGAUUGCAGGAGGAACAGUCAUGGAGCAUGGGAAGAAUAACAUACAGGGUACAUGGCAAUGGACAAACAUGGCAGGAUUGUGGAAAAAUCCAGUAAAGAACAAAGAGAACCAGUGCUUGUAUGCUUAUAUGUUGAGGCAGGGGUGGAAAAUGACAAAUGAACCAGAAGAGCUAAUCAGAGGAAAUGUGGAACAGCUGUGGAUGGAUGAAAGCUAGAAAGCUGUGUGAGGGAGACUAAUUAACACACAAGAAGCUGAACGAAGACACAAAGAGAAUCUAAUCAAGGGGAAAAGACAAACAAUAAUCGAAGAUAAUGAAACCAGAGAAAAUAAACACAAAGAAAGGAACUAUAUAAAGAAAACACCUUUCUAACAUUAAUCAGCACAAGAAAAUGAACUGAAUAAGGCAAGACCUUAAGAACAUAACACACAGCAAGGAAAUUAUCAAAACAAACACAAAAGAAAAACAAAAACCCAGGGAUUGUGACAAUUUUGUACUGAAUCAUUCUGAUCAAAUGGUUGACAGAUCAGAGCAGGCUUGUAUGUAAUUCAUGUUCAACAUCCACUUGUCAAGACAUUAAACACGGCCAUACAGAGAGAUGGUUUUAUAGAGCAGAAGGGCAGCUGUGUGACCCCACGACAAUGCAGAGAUACGAACAGACAGGAUGAAGUCAGUAGCUUCCCAGAGCCCAACUGGGAGCACCUGAUGUCACUACCCUUUCAUUGCGGAUUUACUAAGCAGAAUCCUGUAAAUCACACCAUCCAACGGUUGAAAGAAGAAGCUGCGGAUGCUGGCUUGGAGACAGCUGAUGCCAGUUUGCAGGAGCAGCAGACCAUGACCAUGUGUGCAGUGGAUGAGACCUUAAAGAUAAUACAAGAAGAACGGGUGCUUUUUCUCUACUCAGGAGUAACAGAAGGCGUCUGUUAGGGCUACGUUGGGGCUGGCACCUAUCUUCAGCAGUCAUUGAGGUAGAGGUGGGGUGCACCCUGGACAGUAUGACAUGCUUCUGUGUGCCAAAAUUCAUUUUCAUUUGUAUCUCCAACAUUCCAUCUUAACUGGCACCAAACCAGGGAGCAUCAUGGUGGAUGAAGGGCCACAAGAAAAAGCUUUUACCUCAAAGAUGUCUUCAUAACAACAAAGAACGCUCAUCCAAUUUUCACAGCUCUUUUUAUUGCCUUUAUCUGCUUAAUAAUCUGUGUCUUAAGUAUCUUGGCAUUUAAUUAUGAUCUCACAUCAUAACAUAAUCCCUAGCUGUUUAAAUAAUCAUGCGAACCAUGCAGUAAGGACAAGAUGUAAGCCUAUACUCUCCACGGGUGCUACAGGAUCGUCCCAGACAAGCUACAGCUGCAAAGCCAGUGACCUGAAGCAAUUGACUGAGCUUUCCUAGAUAGAUAAGUUUUUACCCACUGGCAUUUUAUAAAUAGUUAAUUUGACUGUAUUGCAUUACUAUUCACAGAAAAAAACUGCAUGUAAUUGACCUUUCUGUCAUUUAAAAGACCUUAAGAUGAUGCAUUGUGUAUUGGCACCAAUAAAUAAACAAAAAUAUAUCAAGGCAUGAAAAAAGUGAAAGCAUAUUGAUAGUGAUUGGCCUGACUGCUUUUGCCUUUUAAAUUGCCAGUUGUUCAGCUCAGGAAGUGAAGGAUCACAACAGCAAAGGCCAUGACACUGAACCAACUCUCGAAAAGAAAGGGACACAAAGGUCUUAACAGUUUGUGAAUUAUCAGCACAACAUGUUAGCAUUGGGACUGAAAGAAGUUGUUGUCAGAUGUAAAUAGGAAUCUGUUGCAGUCUAUGUCCACAUUCAUAAAAUCUAAGUUUACAUGCCAAGUACAGCACCUUGCAAAAGUAUAGCUACCCCUUCAACGUUUUCAUAUUUAUCACAUUGCAAAUACAAACUUGAAUGUGAUUUCUUGGGAUUUUUUAUGUGAUAGCAGUAAUGCAUAACUGUGCAGUGUGAGUAAAAUGAUAGAUGGGUUUCACAAUCUUUACAAACUAAAAUCUGAUAAGUGUGCAUGUUAUUAUGUUCAGCCCAUCUGAAUCAAUACCUUUCAUUGCAAUAUAGCUGCAAAUCUUUAGGGGUAUGUCUCCACCAGCUUUGCACAUCUAGAGCCAUAAACGUUUGCCCAUUUCUAUGCAUAAAACAACUUAAGCUUAGUCAGAUUGGAUGGAAAACAUUUGUGAAUAUCCGUUUUCAUGUCUUGCUAAAGAUUCUCAGAUGUGGACAUUGUUAUUGAAACAGAUAAAUAUGCUUUGAUCUAAACUAUCUGGCUGCAUGUGUAUGGUCAUUGUCCUUCUGGAGGGUGAACCUCCAGUCCAAAUGCAACAUUUUGUAUUCUGAACAAAAGGUUCAGUUGUGUUUUUUGAUUAGAGCACCUUCUUCCACGUUUGCUGUGUCUUCUACAUGGCUUGUGGAAUGUUGCAAUUAAGACUUCUUAUGACUUUCUUUCUGUCGUCCAUUUAGAACAUAUUUGUGGUUUGUAUGACCAUUAGUUGCAUCUGUGCAGCUCAACAGAGUUACCAUGGGCCUUUAGGCUGCUUCUGUGAGGUUAUGAACAUAGACCGACCGGUAAAUCGAGAACUUUGCUUUUCAGCUCAGCUCUUUCAUCACCACAACGGACCGGCACAGCUUCCCCAAUACUGCGGCAGC